rnacentral:lncRNA from 1 species
GCCCUCCUGAGGAAGUACUGUCUCCAUGGGCACAGGGGCAGCGACGCCACCCUGGCACCACUGGCAGCUUGGCCAAUGGCCAGGUGGGCGGGGACGCCCAGCACCAUGCUUGGCCUGGGGUCCAAAUGACCCGGCCCAGAUCGUGGGCCUUUCUGCUUCCUGGUUCCCCUUUUCUCAAGUGUUGGGGCCCCUGUAGGAUGGAAAACACAAAGCAUCAAUCCGGCCCAGGGUCGCUCCUACUAAGGUCUCCAGAUCUUACAUUCCUAUAAAAGGGGAGUUUAACGAUAUGCACCCACUGAAGAGUCAGGGUGGUGGCGCAUGUAUAGAAUCUGUAGUGUGAUUUAUAGACGUGUAGAGAAAGGAGCUAAUCUCUCGAAUCUCUCACUUCCAGAAAAACUGCUUCUGCUUCAUUGACUAUGCUAAAACCUUUGACUGUGUGGAUCACAAUAAACUGUGGAAAAUUCUUCAAGAGAUGGGAAUACCUCCUGAGAAACCUGUAUGCAGGUCAGGAUGCAACAGUUAGAACUGGACAUGGAACAACAGACUGGUUCCAAAUAGGAAAAGGAGUACGUCAAGGCUGUAUAUUGUCACCCUGCUUACUUAACUUCUAUGCAGAGUACAUCAUGAGAAACGCUGGCUGGAUGAAGCACAAGCUGGAAUCAAGAUUGCAGGGAGAAAUCUCAAUAACCUCAGAUAUGCAGAUGGCACCACCCUUAUGGCAGAAAGUGAAGAGGAACUAAAGAGCUUCUUGAUGAAGGUGAAAGGAGAGUGAAAACGCUGGCUUAAAACUCAACAUUCAGAAAACGAAGAUCACGGCAUUCGGUUCCAUCAGUAAGUUCAGAACAUCGACUGAGCGUCUGAACAACAAGAAGAGAAAGGACGGAGCAACGAGAUGAAAUAGGAAAUUCUACCACUUUCUUCCUGGCCUCGCCGUCUCUGGGCAGCCUCUCUGCAGGGGCCCGCUCCUGCCCUGAGGACCCCUGGGUUCCCCUGUUCCUCACCUCCUGUAUCCUCCAAGGCAUCCAAACCAAUUCUGGAUGCUCUCCCGUCCUUUGCUUCCGACCCAAAGGACAGACUCUGCAGGGACCUCCCGAGCUUCAGCCUAGGCCAGCCUCACCUCCCCACCUCACGCCUCUGUUCCCGGAGUCUGCAGAUGCAAGACCACUCCCCCCACCUGGAGCAGACCCUGAGGAGACUCCCCCAUCUGCAGAGCUGCCCACCCAGGAAAUUCCCAGGCAGGAGGCAGGUGCCCCUCGCGUGGUCCUGCAGGAGGCAGUAUUGAAAGAAAGCCCCUCAGAUGUUCAUAUGUCUGGGUCUCGCCACCACCAUCAGCUGGGGUUCCUAGUGUGGAUGCCUGUGUCUGCUGCUCCUCUGUCCACUCGAAAUAUGAGUCAUGUGGAUUCCCUCACCCACAGCCCAGCAACGGAUGCAGAAGCUGGCGGUAGCCGAGGCCAGAGCCGGAGGCUGGGCGUUGGGUGCCCCACGUGUCUCCAGCAGGACCAGGUGGAUUCACCCCUUCUCCACAUUCUGCUCCAAGUGCCUCCACGUGGUGCCCUGGGGCUUCAAUCCCAGCAAACAUGUAGACCAAGCUUUCGAAGACACACUGAGCUCUGUGAGUGCAGAACAGGGAGAUUUUAACCCGAGCUGAUGCAAUUACCCUAAGACGUCAGGGAGGAGCCGUGGAAUGAGGGAUAAUCACCGUGUUUUGAUCUGUGGUUUAUGCUUUACAUGCAAAUGGCAUCAAGUGAGGGCUAAAGAAGCCAAGCAUUUUAAUUCUCUGAUAUGGACGUAAGAUUCUCUGAUUUCUUGAGGGACCUCAGGCAGCAAAGGGUCCAGAGCGAACCUCAGUCUGGUUUUUACCCGGUUUCCUCUCUGUGGUGUGAACU